rnacentral:rRNA from 1 species
AUUUUAUAAAGAGUUUGAUCCUGGCUCAGGACGAACGCUGGCGGCGCGCCUAACACAUGCAAGUCGAACGGAGUUGAGAGGAGC